rnacentral:rRNA from 1 species
GAUGAACGCUAGCGGGAGGCCUAAUACAUGCAAGUCGAACGGUAAGGUCCCUUCGGGGAUACACGAGUGGCGGACGGGUGCGUAACGCGUACGAAACAUACCUUCAACAGGGAGAUACCUCCGGGAAACUGGAAAUAAUACCCCAUAGUAUUGAGAUAUCGCAUGAUAUUUCAAUUAAAGCUUUGGCGGUUGAAGAUUGUCGUGCGUCUGAUUAGCUAGUUGGUGAGGUAACGGCUCACCAAGGCGACGAUCAGUAGCUGGUCUGAGAGGAUGAUCAGCCACACUGGAACUGAGACACGGUCCAGACUCCUACGGGAGGCAGCAGUAGGGAAUAUUGGACAAUGGGCGGAAGCCUGAUCCAGCCAUCCCGCGUGUAGGAAUAAGACCCUAUGGGUUGU